UCUACCCGCAUUUUUUAUUUUAUUUGAUUAUUUGUUUACAAAAGUUGAAAAGAAGCAAUGCCUUCUGGAAAUUUCAAGACAAGACCUUGUCCACACAUGCCAAAACGAUCUUUUUUUUUUUCUCCAUCUUCGUUUGCACCGUUUCAAGAAUAUUUGCGUCCACACGGAUCCGCUGAAAACGACUCAAAACGCUGUAGUUCACAUUCCAGGCCUCGAGGUGGCGCUUACAAUUCACCAAGGCGACGGAGCAUGCGCAUUAAGCUUGAACGCUGUUUACAAACAGACAGUAGAAGGAGAAUCCGAAAACAAGAAGAAGGAGACGAAAAUGGCUAGUGCAAGGAAACCAGAAGCGUUUGUGCGGACCGUUAAUGAGGUCAAACUGCUGCUGCGACUCACACUCGACUACAAGGCGAGUAAGUUGCAAGACACACGAGCACAAGUAGUAGUCCGCCAUUGUUGUUGUUGUUAUGAGGCGUUGCAGAGUUCAGAGGUCGGAGGCAAGAGGUCGAGGAGUGGGGGGAUGGCGUCAUCGUUUCGGAAAGUAUGCGGAUUCGCCGUCCACACGACAACGGGAGUGCUGCGUUUUCAGGAUCCCUGUGGACGGUCGGCCAAAACGAUGCAAUACAUGUGCGUUUUCGCAGGAAAACGCAAAAGGGCGUGUUCAUGUGGACGGCCUCUACACCGUCUGCGUGCUUUUUGGAGGUUGGAAGUUGGCUGAAGCUGGCAAAAAAUGAAUCGAGGCAUCACGAGACAGAAGGGGCGAGCAGAGAAAAAGAGAGAAAUCUAAGAGAGCACUGCUGACUGGCGGUGAAAAAUGCUGCAAACUGACUGACUUGUUUUUAAAAUCAAGUGCAGCUUGAGCUAGCAAUAGCGCUAAUAAUGCCAGCACUAAUGUUAGCGACACAGCUGAGCCAGCACACCAGGGAGAACAGGACAGUGAGGAAUAUGAGUCAGAGGAGGAUGACGACGUAGACAUGGAGAACUGCAUGACGCUCCAUGCCACACCGCGAACCAGCCUCCAGCACCUCUGCCACCUGCCUGCUCAAACACUAGAGCCUUUUGUGUUUGACUGACCCAAGGCCUUCACCUGUGCCACUGUUAGUCUCCCCCUCUACACUCUACCUGAGCCUCAGCCCUCCUCCAUCACAAACCUACUGCAGUAUUUCAGAGCUGAAAAAGAAUGAGGAGAGAGGAAUGUCUGCUGGCAGGUAUGAUUGUACUCCGACACAAUGUUAUCAUCCGGACACAUUUUUGUCGAACAUUUGGAGAAAAUCAUUUUGCUCGAUCUUUGACUGUCUGCUGGGCUGUGAGGCAGCUGUUGGGAGACUCGCCACCUGGUGAGCAGCUUUGAAGUACACUUUGAGGAUUAAAUUAUUCAUUCAGGAUGGCGACAUGUAUCCAGCUUGCCUGAGACUGUGGAGAAGAUUUUGCCUCCUGCAGCUCAGCCUUACUGGACGGUCUUUCAGCACACCCGGCAUCAUCCCACUUCAUGAAACGCAGACUUUUCACAAAAGUCCAAACUCUUUGUAGACAAGACUUAGUCAUAAAAAAAAGAACAUAGUCCUCCACAGUCAGAUUUAAGAUCACGAUUAUUAUUGGCAUGAUAGAGUUAUAUUGUACACGAGGUGUUUUAUGAUGUGCGGCCUUCUCAGCAUGUCUGCAGGAUGUCCCAGAUUUGAAAACGAUUGUGUCCACCAGGAGGCUUUGACUUGAAAUGGAUUCUGGCUUCAAUGAAAAUUAAGCAGGAUAUCCAGCUCUAAAAAAAAUGUAUUUCAACAGUUAUUUUGACUUUAAUGCAGCUACAGCACUUUGAAGAUACAUCCUUGUGCGUUCACAAAGGUUUGAGGCUACAAAUAGAAAAAGUAAUUUAGAUUUUAUUAAUAAUGUGGAUGAUUGACAGGAAAUUAAAAUGGGCCUGGACUGUGACAAGGAGACCCUGUAAAAAGAAAAUUCAUAAAAAAAACAACUAUGCCAUUACUGAAUAUGUUUGCACGUUUCAUGGUCUGCCCGUCACUGAGUGUUUAUUUCUUUGUCAGGAAUACAGCGCACAGCUGGUUGGCUUUUAGCUGUAAACAAGCACAUUGCACUGUAUAGUAUACGGAGAUCCGUGCUCCAUUAUCACAGAAAAACGUAUAGCCUGCUUUUGAAUGUGAUUACAAUUUCCUGUGACUGUGACUGUUUUUACAGUGGCUAUUUGUUAUUUUAUUGUAGAAAUGAAGUCUUUAUUUUACAGUUUCAUUCUAUUGAGAUUGCUGUAUGUAUGUAUGUAUGUAUGUGUAUAUAUAUAUAUAUAUGUAUAUGUAUGUAUGUAUGUAUGUAUGGAAAGAAUAUGUGUCUUUAUUUGGUGCACAGAAACAAUUUAACAACUGAAUAUAACCCAAGGCAUCUUGUUCUGCAUUAUGUACUGUUAAAAAAGAAAAGAAAACGGCAUUUAUCGGACAAUAUAUAAGCCGAUGCUGAUGUA